rnacentral:rRNA from 1 species
GCUCAACCGAGGAAGUGCUUCGAAAACUGGUAAACUUGAGUGCAGAAGAGGAAAGUGGAACUCUAUGUGUAGCGGUGGAAUGCGUAGAUAUAUGGAAGAACACCAGUGGCGAAGGCGGCUUUCUGGUCUGUAACUGACGCUGAGAUUCGAAAGCAUGGGUAGCAAACAGGAUUAGAUACCCUGGUAGUCCAUGCCGUAAACGAUGAGUGCUAAGUGUUGGAGGGUUUCCGCCCUUCAGUGCUGCAGCUAACGCAUUAAGCACUCCGCCUGGGGAGUACGACCGCAAGGUUGAAACUCAAAGGAAUUGACGGGGGCCCGCACGAGCGGUGGAGCAUGUGGUUUAAUUCGAAGCAACGCGAAGAACCUUACCAGGUCUUGACAUACCAUGAAAAGCUUAGAGAUAAGUCUUUCCCUUCGGGGACAUGGAUACAGGUGGUGCAUGGUUGUCGUCAGCUCGUGUCGUGAGAUGUUGGGUUAAGUCCCGCAACGAGCGCAACCCUUAUUAUCAGUUGCCAGCAUUCAGUUGGGCACUCUGGUGAGACUGCCGGUGACAAACCGGAGGAAGGUGGGGACGACGUCAAAUCAUCAUGCCCCUUAUGACCUGCGCUACACACGUGCUACAAUGGUCGGUACAACG